UGAAUUUAGUAAUUUUUUCGGGUCUUCCCUGUUAAGUCCAGUUCAUAGGCAUUUGCCUAGAUUGUCAACAAACCAAAUCGUGCAAAUAGUCUGAUCACGUGUUGUUUCUAUGCUGUUGGUUUUUGUGCCCAGGAUAAAUAUUUUUCAUGAAAGAAUAAAUUAUUUUCUGUGGCUAGGUGGUUCUUAGCAUAAUACAAGGUCCCACCCUAGAGAAAGAGAAACAUUCAAAGCUCCAUUUGGAUGAGAAAAUUGAGUACUUUGUAAUUUCAUUAUGGCAUGAAUGAAGAUUCCAUCACUUUAUUUCUUCUUCUGUGAUUGUAUUCAAAAUUUAAUUUGAUAGAGAUAGAGGAAAGUUGGGGUUGACUAGAACUACUAUGGUGGCAAACACAUAGAAACAGAGAACCUGCAGUUGUGUGGCAAUUGGCUGCCAUAAUUGAACCAAGACACAAGAAUAGUAGUAUGGUGGCAGUGGUGGUGAUUCAACAUUGUUUAUGAUGGUUGUAGUGGUGGCAGGGCUGUUAGUGCUGCACUGAUAAUUCCAGUGGUUAUGUUGAUGAUGGUGAUGGUGCUGGUGCUGGUGUCAUGUUGCAAUAGUUAUGGUGAUAAUUUUGGUUGUGGUGCAACUCCGUGGAUUAAACAUUGAUAGAUUAAGCAGAAAUGUUUAGUGAGUGUAUGCUUGAUGCCUUAAGUUCAGAGAGAAGACACUUUUCUUAGGCAUGUCAAUUUUAAACAGACAAAUUAAGUAAUCCUCUCUUUAAAUGCCCUCAAAUUAAUAAUUGCUUUUAUGUAACAGGGGAGUUUAAGUUGGGAUUCCAAGAUUCCUUCAUCUCUCGUUUAGUUACUUGAUUCAAGUGCAACCAAAAUUUUACCUUUAGUAAAAUGAUUAACUGUACAUAACUUGAAAUUUCAGAGCAUGAAUGUGUACUCAGAAGGGCAAGAAGUAAAAACAACCUGGAAAGCAUGUACCAGAAGCAGCUAAUUAAUGAUUUCUGUCUUGUUCAUAGGGAACAUGUUCAAUCAUGAAAUAUUUUCAAGGCCAGUAUCCAUCCCACUCAUCUUCAAAGCAAACUCCAGAUAACUUCAUCCAAGAAUCUGCACCACUAUUGUCAUCAGGUGAUUUUGGCUUUGUUGAUUGGCAUUUGUGCAUGUCAUUUUUAAUUGUUGAUUUUCAGCUAUUUCCUAUCAUAAUUUAAUGAAGGCUUCAUGUCAGGUACUGAAAGCUAUUCAGAACUGAAAUCAGCUGAGCCACAAAGUGACUAUAAUUUUCCUUGUUUGGAUCUACAAGGACAGAAAAUCAGUGAAUCGAGAGAUAAA
rnacentral:misc_RNA from 1 species